UACCCCCGCAAAAAGAAAAGUUGUGGACUAAGCAACUGUAGGUCAUACAAUGGUCGACCAUAGAAAAUCCAGUUGUCGUUUCAACAUCUCAACGUUAGUUUCACCAUGCCGAGAAUUUAAUCUAUAAACUGACAAACAAAGCACGCCAGACAACAACAAUUAUGUGCCGGGGCUGACAGGCACCGGAGCUCUGAAUUCUGUCCUGGAAGCGGAAAUGUGUAGCAUUUCUUAUGAACUCGCUUAGGGAGCAGACAUAAUGCAUAAGUUAUUAAGGAAGCGGCGACAAUGAAGUUUGCAACAAGCUUAAGAAACAUUUUUAACCAAAAAAAUGUAUGCAAAAAUACUUUGACGCUCUGCCAGGAGCAACCUGUCAGGCUUUGAACGCCAAUACCUAACUCUUGCACUAAGAUUUGAAAACGGAUUUGCACAAGGCUCGUGGCUGGAUUUAAAGGCCCGUUGGUGGUCGGGUUUCACUUAUUUUGUAUUAUUUUAAUCAAAAUUAAGAUGGCAAUUUAAGCAAAUUGAGCAUGUGAUAUAAAUAAAAUACU